rnacentral:rRNA from 1 species
GACGAACGCUGGCGGCGUGCUUAACACAUGCAAGUCGAACGGAAAGGCCCUGAUUUUGUGGGGUGCUCGAGUGGCGAACGGGUGCGUAACACGUGAGUAACCUGCCCUUGACUUUGGGAUAACUUCAGGAAACUGGGGCUAAUACCGGAUAGGAGCUCCUGCUGCAUGGUGGGGGUUGGAAAGUUUCGGCGGUUGGGGAUGGACUAGCGGCUUAUCAGCUUGUUGGUGGGGUAGUGGCUUACCAAGGCUUUGACGGGUAGCCGGCCUGAGAGGGUGACCGGCCACCUUGGGACUGCGAUACGGCCCAGACUCCUACGGGGGGCAGCGGUGGGGAAUAUUGCACAAUGGGCGGAAGCCUGAUGCAGCAACGCCGCGUUCGUGAUGACGGCCUUCUGGUUGUAAACCGCUUUCGCCUGUGACGAAGCGUGAGUGACGGUAAUGGGUAAAGAAGCACCGGCUAACUACGUG